GAAGCCACUUGGAUAAUUUUUCAAGAUAAACAAGAAUGUUCUUCAGGAUAAAAAAAAUCAGUUGAGGUUUAAUGUUUGCUCAGCCAACAGCACUGAAACACAGCCAGACAAAUAAUGCAGCACAUGCACUAAGUUGAUCUUAAGAGGUACAAAUAUGCAUUAAGAUUACAGUGAUAAUUAGAAAAAAGUACAGACUGUUGUUUAAAAGUAUACAAAAGAGGUACAUCCUCCAUCUCUUAGGUCAUGCAGACAUCCAGGAAGUACGGACACUAAGUUGAUCUUAAGAGGUACAAAUAUGCAUUAAGAUUACAGUGAUAAUUAGAAAAAAGUACAGACUGUUGUUUAAAAGUAUACAAAAGAAGUACAUCCUCCAUCUCUUAGGUCAUGCAGACAUCCAGGAAGUACGGAAGUGAAAGAUCACAAGGAUCUUCAAGUCUAGAAAAGAUGGAAGAAGCAUAAGACAAGUACAGACUCAAUGACUGAGAAUGAUUAACAGCCUAUUGCAAAAUCACGAUAGCACGCUCUCAAAAAUACCAUCAGUAAUGAAAACAUCA
rnacentral:lncRNA from 1 species